AGAGUUUGAUCAUGGCUCAGAGCGAACGUUAGCGGCGCGCCUAACACAUGCAAGUCGAGCGAGAAAGGGAGCAAUCCUGAGUAGAGCGGCGCACGGGUGCGUAACACGUAGAUAAUCUGCCCUUUGGCGGGGGAUAACGUUCCGAAAGGAGCGCUAAUACCGCAUACAGCGCGAGAUGGUUCGCCGUUUCGCGGCAAAGGUUGGGACCCGCAAGGGCCAAUCGCCGGAGGAGGAGUCUGCGGCCCAUCAGCUAGUUGGUAAGGUAAUGGCUUACCAAGGCAAAGACGGGUAGCUGGUCUGAGAGGAUGAUCAGCCACACUGGUACUGGAACACGGACCAGACUCCUACGGGAGGCAGCAGUGGGGAAUCUUGGUCAAUGGGCGCAAGCCUGAACCAGCGACGCCGCGUGAGUGAUGAAGGCCUUCGGGUUGUAAAGCUCUGUGGGGAGGGACGAAAGAGACUUGUCGAAUAGACAAGUCAGUUGACGGUACCUCCUUAGCAAGCACCGGCUAACUCUGUGCCAGCAGCCGCGGUAAGACAGAGGGUGCAAACGUUGCUCGGAAUUACUGGGCGUAAAGCGCGUGUA
rnacentral:rRNA from 1 species